CGCGCACCUCGCCCAACGCUCCGCGCGCGCCUCGGCCUCGGCCGGUUCCGCCCCUCCCCCUGCCUUCCCCCCCUCCCUCCUUUUUUUUCUUUUUUAAUAUGUUGCCCUCUGAGGCUCCCGCGCUCCGUCACUUCCCCCUCCAGGCGCUUCCGGGGCAUGUGAUCCCCCUCCCGCAGGCGCCCUUUCUUUGCCGUUGCCUUGGCGAUGAGGGCCGGGGCCUGGCGAGAGGCCGCGCUGGGGCCGGCGGGCGAUGGAAACAGCGAGGGAUGGAAAAGUGUCUGGCUGAUUCUCUUAAAAAAGAGGAGUGAUAAGAGAUAUUUAUGAAGCAAACAGCUAUUCAAAAUAAAGACAAAGGUCAGCGAGUGAUCAGACGGACAAUGACAAGAUGGGGAACCCAGCCACCUUAAUCCCUCUGAAUCAACCACUCCACUGGAUGAAAGACUAAACCAUUUGUCCCUGUUGCAAAACCUACUGAAGGUGAUUUAACAGAAGAAACUCUCUAGAAUCUAUGCAAACUAAGGGAAGCUACUGCAAUAAAGGGGCAUUAAGACUUUUUAUGGGGUGUUUUGAGGAGGGGGAUUUGGGGACUGAACAAGAGACUUUGGGGCUUUACAGGACUAUAAUGGGAUGUUUAGAAUCAGGACCACAGAAAUGGAGGGAUCAAGGUGGAUCAGAGAUGAGCGAGCAUCAAACAAGCAUCAGAAAAUGAAGAGAAAGCAUAAACUGGGCUGGUCAUAUGUAAGCAGCUACUUGUCAGUGUGCUCAUCUGGACAAAUUCUGCAUAUGAUCACCACAGUCUGUAUUAUAUUCUUAAUAAAAUAUUUUUAAUUA